rnacentral:lncRNA from 1 species
AGCCUGGGCUUGAGCGCGCGCAGAAGUCAGCUUCGUGACUUCCUUCUCAGGAUGGAACCAGCUUGGUGGCUUGAGGGAAAGGGGUUCUGAGUUGCAAAUCAGAAACUUGAAGAUGAAAUGGCUACUACGCUGGGUAUUGCCUUUAUCUUGAAUGCCAGCCUGAUGGUCCAAGGUGAACAAGCCUUCCUGUGUUUUCUGAAUGUUCCCCCGCACUUUGCCUGCCACCAUGUAAGAUGUGUCUUUGCGCCUCCUUUGCCUUCCACCAUGAUUGUGCGGCCUCCCCAGCCAUGUGGAACGGUGUCUGGGGUCUGUCAGGAUCAACAGGCCUUGAGAGAGACUGACCCAGAGGACUACUAAAAGGGACACCUGCCCAGGCCAGCCUAUUCUACCAUCCUCGUUCUCCUGCAAAACCAAG